GGGUGUGAUCAUACCAACACUAAUGCACCGGAUCCCAUCAGACCUCCGCAGUUCAGCAUGCUUGGGUAAGAGUAGUACUAGGAUGGGUGACUUCCUGGGAAGUCCUCGUGUUGCACCCC
rnacentral:rRNA from 1 species